AGAGUUUGAUCAUGGCUCAGGAUGAACGCUAGCGGCAGGCUUAACACAUGCAAGUCGAGGGGCAUCGCGGUUCCGGCAACGGGACCGGCGGCGACCGGCAUACGGGUGCGUAACGCGUGAGCGACAUUCCCGGGACCGGGGUAUAACCGACGGAAACGUCGCCUAAUCCCCCGUAACACCAUCGGGCGCAUGCCCUUUGGUUGAAAGCUCCGGCGGUCCCGGAUUGGCUCGCGUCCCAUUAGGCGGAUGGCGGGUAACGGCCCACCAUACCUACGAUGGGUAGGGGUUCUGAGAGGAAGGUCCCCCACAAUGGAACUGAGACACGGUCCAUACUCCUACGGGAGGCAGCAGUGAGGAAUAUUGGUCAAUGGGCGGAAGCCUGAACCAGCCAUGCCGCGUGCGGGACGACGGCCCUACGGGUUGUAAACCGCUUUUGCAGGGGAGCAAUAAGGGGGUUUCGUACCCCCGACGAGCGUACCCUGCGAAUCAGCACCGGCUAACUCCGUGCCAGCAGCCGCGGUAAUACGGAGGGUGCGAGCGUUAUCCGGAUUUAUUGGGUUUAAAGGGUGCGUAGGCUGUGCGUCAAGUCAGGGGUGAAAUUCCGUCGCUCAACGUCGGUUGUGCCCUUGAUACUGGCGUGCUGGAGUACGGAUGCCGCCGGAGGAAUGAGUGGUGUAGCGGUGAAAUGCAUAGAUAUCACUCAGAACACCGAUUGCGAAGGCAUCUGGCGAAUCCGUCACUGACGCUGAUGCACGAAAGCGUGGGGAUAAAACAGGAUUAGAUACCCUGGUAUUCCACGCCGUAAACGAUGAUGACUAGCCGCCGGCGACACGCUGUC
rnacentral:rRNA from 1 species